ACAGCAAGUCAUAGAACCUCUUGGAACCCCAGUUUCCACAUCUGGAAGAAGGGGCAGAAUAGUAUCAAAAAUGCUUCACUCCCAGGAAUGUGGUGAGCAUAAAAUUAAAUAAUGAAAAAGUCAACUAUAAAGCACUAAAUAAAUAUAAGAUGGUGAAUCUGACAGAGGAAGAAUUAAAUGACUUGCUCAAGGUCACCUUUGAGGAAUUUGCAGGAAGUUUAACUUAUGUAUAUUUUUCCCCUGUAGUACCCCAGGGGCCUAAUGAAAGGAAAACAAAUGAAGUGGAUCCCCAUCUUCCACCCUUGCCUCCACUAAGCCAUCAGAGGACGUUUCCCACCCCACUCUCUCCAAUUUCACUUGAAAAAUAAAACAGACCUCCAGCUGUGAAAUGGAUUAUGCUCUACAACUAUGUACCUGGAAUAGAAGCCAUCAUUCUUCAUGAAGGUUGCUGAGAAUUUUGUAUCGCAGCCUGGCAGCUUCCUAUUCCCUCAUUAGCCUGCAUAUCCCACUUAACGAAAGAUUCGCCAUGCACUGACUUGUAUGUGGCUCACAGUGUGCACAGUAUGCACUGACUGUGACCUGUCCCCAAAUGAACACAGUACCAGUCUAACGUACCACCUUACCUAUGGCUCUCUCCCAUACACACCCAAUCCACUGCAGGCAAAUGAUCUACCCACAAUCUCCCAAACACAGUCUUCACUGUCUGGUCACUGCUGCUUUACACGUGGCAUUCACUCUGCUUGCAGAGGCAUUUUAGAGUGGAUAUCUAAAGAAGGAGAUUUCUCCCAAGCAUGCACAUAGGAGGGCACUGGUCUGAUGCUCUGAUUGACAGUUCACUACUGCAAAGAGGACAGAUGAGAAAGCAGCUCAGCUCUUUGAUGCUAAGGAAAAAACACAGAACCUCACUUAUCCAUAUGUAAUUACAAACUUUAGUAUCCAUCAGUACCAAGCCAAAAUAGUUCCUGUUUGGACAUACAUUAUUAGAAAUUAACAACAAAAUUUAGUAAAUGGUUGGCCAGUUCUGAACGCAGAAUAGCCACCUCUGAGUGAGCAUUUUGAUCAAUCUAACUCACACAUUUCUGGUUCAACAAAGUUAUUAGAUGAGAAGACCCAAAACGGUGUGUAAAUGGGACACAGAUUUAUAAACAGUUAAUUUAUAAUCAUAUAUGGCAAAUUAACCUGUAUGUCACUAAUGUGCCACCAAUCAUAAGACAUGCCAUCAUUUAAUCUGUCAUGAAGAAGUGAAAAAACUCAAUUAAAUGGUGACAUCAUGCUUCCUUAUUAGAAAUGUUCAUUUUUUUGUUAUGCUAAAUUUACAUGAAUACAUAUUUAUUUAAACAACACGGGGCCACAAUAUGAACAUCUAUGCCCAAGUUUCUGCAUGCCCAGCAAUGACUGCCACCCUGACAAUGGUGACUGAUAUCAUCAAGUGUAACAUGCAUCCUGAUUCAAGUUGUUCAACUGUGACACAACGGGCACCUUAGCACUGAUGAAAUAUGGUACCCGCCUGCGUCACAUGAGCUUCUCAUGAUCCAGCAGCCUCUCCUCACCUGACACUGGCUCUAGUCCCCAGUAAUGACUCUGAUCCUGUUUGUCCUAGGAUUCUUCUCUUCCUUUGUUUCCCACUUCCCUCACUGGGCUACUCAGUAACCAGUUAGCUGUUAAGGCGCAAGCCUUUUUUUAUUUUAAUUUUUAUUUUUUCCAAAACUCCUCAACAAUUGCAAUUGCCACUUUGUUUCUACUAUUAUUGCCCUUGACUUAUUUAUUUAUUUAUUUAAGUUUCUUUUGUUUUUAAACAAGAAGGCUGGGUACAGUGGCUCGUGCAGAUAAUCCCAGCAAUUUGGGAGGUCGAGGCAGGUGGCUCACUGGAGGUCCUGAGUUCAAGACCAGCCUGGCCAACAUGGCAAAACCCUGUCUCUACUAAAAAUACAAAAAUUACCUAGAGGUGGUGGCACACGCCUGUAAUCCCAGCUACUCACGUGGCUGAGGCAGGAGAAUUGCUUGAACCUGGGCAGCAGAGGUUGCAGUGAACCAAGAUCGUGUCACUGUACUCCAGCCUGGGCAACAGAGCGAGACCCUGUCCAAAAAAAAAAAAAAAUCUCAAGGCUGGGCAUGGUGGCUCGCGCCUAUAAUCCCAGUACUUUGGGAGUCACAGUACUCAGGAUCAUCUGAGGUCAGGAGUUGAAUACCAGCCUGGCCAACGUGAUGAAACCUCGUCUCUACUAAAAAUACAAAAAUCAGCCGUGCAUGGUGGCAUAUGCCUGUAAUCCCAGCUACUUGGGAGGCUGACACAGGAGAAUUGCUUCAACCUGGGAGACGGAAGUUGCAGUGAGCUGAGAUUACGCCACUGCACUCCAGCCUGAGCAACAAAGUGGGACUCCAUC